rnacentral:rRNA from 1 species
GAUGAACGCUGGCGGCGUGCUUAACACAUGCAAGUCGAACGGAAAGGCUCCUGCUUGCCGGGGUACUCGAGUGGCGAACGGGUGAGUACACGGGGGGGAUCUGGCCCUGAACUCGGGAAAAGCCUGGGGAAAUGGGGCCUAUACCGGGAAGGGAGAUGGUUUGGAUGCCAUUGGGGGAAGGUUUUUCGGUGUGGGAUGAGCUCGCGGCCUAUCAGCUUGUUGGUGGGGGAAUGGCCUACCAAGGCGUCGACGGGUAGCCGGCCUGAGAGGGUGUACGGCCACAUUGGGACUGAGAUACGGCCCAGACUCCUACGGGAGGCAGCAGUGGGGAAUAUUGCACAAUGGGCGCAAGCCUGAUGCAGCGACGCCGCGUGGGGGAUGACGGCCUUCGGGUUGUAAACUCCUUUCGCUAGGGACGAAGCGCAAGUGACGGUACCUGGAGAAGAAGCACCGGCUAACUACGUG